rnacentral:pre_miRNA from 1 species
UCACAGGGCUUGAUCCAAAGCCCAUUGAAGUCAAUGGGAGUCUUUCCAUUGACUUCAGUGAGCUUUUAAUCAGGCCCAUGGUGA